CACCGCCCGUCACAUCACGAAAGCAGGCUGCACUAGAAGUCGCUGAGCUAACCGCAAGGGGGCCGGCGCCCAAGGUGUGGUUUGUGAUUGGGGUG
rnacentral:rRNA from 1 species